rnacentral:lncRNA from 1 species
UCGGAAAGGAAAGGCUCAAGUCAAGUAACUUUUGGAGUUCGUUUUAAGGCAAGUGGCUUCCAAACUUUGUAAAACUCUUAGACUACGCAUAACUACCUUCCUAAUUGUGUUGGGGGAGUAAUGGGGAUUGAGGAUGAGUUUUAUUUGUUGAUUGAAAUUGUUGUAAAUGAAAGAUGGGGAAUAAAACGAGCUAAAUGUGUUAUAUGUGACUUGAAUUUGUUGAAUAAGUCAUGUGAUAACUGAUAUUGAGGGGAUAGAAGAGCACGAGUAGGCUAUGAUUGAUACAUACAUUGACGUUGAGACAGAUGAUGUGUAAUACUAUGAUGUG